CAGCAGCCGCGGGAAUACGGAGGGGGCUAGCGUUGUUCGGAAUUACUGGGCGUAAAGCGCACGUAGGCGGCUUUGUAAGUUAGAGGUGAAAGCCCGGAGCUCAACUCCGGAAUUGCCUUUAAGACUGCAGAGCUAGCAGGUGAGAGAGGUGAGUGGAAUUCCGAGUGUAGAGGUGAAAUUCGUAGAUAUUCGGAAGAACACCAGUGGCGAAGGCGGCUCACUGGCUCAUACUGGACGCUGAGGUGCGAAAGCGUGGGGAGCAAACAGGAUUAGAUACCCGAGUAGUCCCUGUCUCUUAUAC
rnacentral:rRNA from 1 species